rnacentral:rRNA from 1 species
CCUACGGGAGGCUGCAGUGAGGAAUAUUGGUCAAUGGGCGGAAGCCUGAACCAGCCAAGUAGCGUGCAGGAUGACGGCCCUACGGGUUGUAAACUGCUUUUAUACGGGAAUAACGCGCCUUACGUGUAGUGCUUUGCAUGUACCGUAUGAAUAAGGACCGGCUAAUUCCGUGCCAGCAGCCGCGGUAAUACGGAAGGUCCGGGCGUUAUCCGGAUUUAUUGGGUUUAAAGGGUGCGUAGGCCGCAUGUCAAGUGUGCUGUGAAAUGUCCGGGCUCAACCCGGGCCUGGCAGGGCGAACUGGCGUGCUUGAGUCCGCGGAAGGCAGGCGGAAUUAG